UACGGGGGGAGCAAGCGUUGUUCGGAUUUACUGGGCGUAAAGGGCGCGUAGGCGGCCACCGCAAGUCAGUUGUGAAAUCUCUGGGCUUAACCCAGAAAGGUCAACUGAUACUGCGGGGCUAGAGUGCAGAAGGGGCAACUGGAAUUCUCGGUGUAGCGGUGAAAUGCGUAGAUAUCGAGAGGAACCCCUGCGGCGAAGGCGGGUUGCUGGGCUGACACUGACGCUGAGGCGCGAAAGCUAGGGGAGCGAACGGG
rnacentral:rRNA from 1 species